rnacentral:rRNA from 1 species
UACGAAGGGGGCUAGCGUUGCUCGGAAUCACUGGGCGUAAAGGGUGCGUAGGCGGGUUCUUAAGUCAGAGGUGAAAUCCUGGAGCUCAACUCCAGAACUGCCUUUGAUACUGAGAGUCUUGAGUACGGGAGAGGUGAGUGGAACUGCGAGUGUAGAGGUGAAAUUCGUAGAUAUUCGCAAGAACACCAGUGGCGAAGGCGGCUCACUGGCCCGGUACUGACGCUGAGGUGCGAAAGCGUGGGGAGCAAACAGG